UGCUAGUCGCACGAGUUUAGACUCGUGGCAGAUAGCUCAGUAACACGUGGCCAAACUACCCUCUGGAUCGGGACACCCUCGGGAAACUGAGGCUAAUCCCGAAUACGGCUCGCCGUCCGGAGUGACGCGAGCUCGAAACGUUUCCGCGCCAGAGGAUGUGGCUGCGGCCGAUUAGGUAGACGGUGGGGUAACGGCCCACCGUGCCGAUAAUCGGUACGGGUCAUGAGAGUGAGAGCCCGGAGACGGUAUCUGAGACAAGAUACCGGGCCCUACGGGGCGCAGCAGGCGCGAAACCUUUACACUGCACGACAGUGCGAUAAGGGGACUCCAAGUGCGAGGGCAUAUAGUCCUCGCUUUUUCCUACCGUAAGGUGGUAGGCGAAUAAGAGCUGGGCAAGACCGGUGCCAGCCGCCGCGGUAAUACCGGCAGCUCGAGUGAUGACCGCUAUUAUUGGGCCUAAAGCGUCCGUAGCCGGCCGGGUAAGUCCAUCGGGAAAUCCGCACGCCUAACGUGUGGGCGUCCGGUGGAAACUGCUCGGCUUGGGACCGGAAGACCAGAGGGGUACGUCCGGGGUAGGAGUGAAAUCCCGUAAUCCUGGACGGACCACCGGUGGCGAAAGCGCCUCUGGAAGACGGAUCCGACGGUGAGGGACGAAAGCUCGGGUCACGAACCGGAUUAGAUACCCGGGUAGUCCGAGCCGUAAACGAUGUCUGCUAGGUGUGCCCCUGGCUACGAGCCAGUGGCGUG
rnacentral:rRNA from 1 species